CGAUCGAGUCACGCGUCACCGGAUAUGAUGAACAGUCAAGAUAAGAUUGACAGGUACCAACAUAUAAAAAGCUUGGAAGAACUUCCAAUGGAUAGUUGUGCUUGUAUUGCUGUCAUAAAGGACAACAUUCACUUUAGUCUCCAGCUCUGCAUCCUCUGGUACUGUGAACGCUCCUAUGUCAUUCUAGAUAUAGCAAUGAACAACCAAAUUAACUAUCAGCUGUUUAUUUUUUGACUAUCCAAUUGCUGAUAUUGACUUUCUUACCAAAAGUCGUCUUACUGAUGGUACUAACUCACCCGCGGUGCAUACUUUGCUGUAACAACAUGACUCUCGCUAUAAUCAUGUCUCUUCCUAGUAUCUGGUGGUCAAAACAUGUUGAUUAUAUGAGAGUGCAUCGCUAAGUUUAUAAAAGUUAAAUAUACUGAAUACUUGGGAACUCACCGAGUAAAAGCAAGUAGUUGGGAUCGCUGAGUCGAGGAUGUUGGAACGACUUUUAGUGAAUGAGAAAAUUGAGUUUUUUAGUAAAUGCGGCAAAAAAAGACACAAAGUAGUUAAAUAACUGCGAAAAAAAAAAAGCUUAUUGUACCUGGUUCAACAAGUUGUAAAGCUCGGAGGGUUCGAAAAGGACAAUUCCAGAGGAUGACAUGGUUAAAAUAUUGUUUUAAAUUAAGGUCAGAAAGUCUUUUUCUCAGAUCGGAUGCUCAUUUUCACUUGGAUUUGUUUUCUGUUGCUAAGAUGGGCUACUUCCGCUGGCCAGUAAGAACCAGAAACUCAAGUACUUACCACAGGUAGCCCAAAGGAAAGCCUCGCGUUCAAUAAAUCUUCAAGCAUUUCA